UACGGAGGGUGCAAGCGUUAUCCGGAUUUACUGGGUUUAAAGGGUGCGUAGGUGGGUUGGUAAGUCAGUGGUGAAAUCUUCGAGCUUAACUCGGAAACUGCCAUUGAUACUAUCAAUCUUGAAUACUUUGGAGGUAAGCGGAAUAUGUCAUGUAGCGGUGAAAUGCUUAGAUAUGACAUAGAACACCAAUUGCGAAGGCAGCUUGCUACACAGUUAUUGACACUGAGGCACGAAAGCGUGGGGGAUCAAAACAGG
rnacentral:rRNA from 1 species